rnacentral:rRNA from 1 species
UACGGAGGGGGCGAGCGUUAUUCGGAAUUAUUGGGCGUAAAGGGCGCGUAGGCGGCCUUGUAAGUCAAAGGUGAAAUCCCUCGGCUCAACUGAGGAACUGCCUUUGAAACUGCAAGGCUUGAGGCCGGGAGGGGGUAGCGGAAUUCCCAAUGUAGCGGUGAAAUGCGUAGAUAUCGGAAGGAACAUCAGUGGCGAAGGCGGCUCACUGGACCACAACUGACGCUGAGGCGCGAAAGCUAGGGGAGCAAACAGG